AUUGAGCGCUGGCGGCAUGCCUUACACAUGCAAGUCGAACGGUAACGCGGGGCAACCUGGCGACGAGUGGUGAACGGGUGAGUAAUGUAUCGGAACGUGCCCAGUUGUGGGGGAUAACUGCUCGAAAGAGCAGCUAAUACCGCAUACGACCUGAGGGUGAAAGCGGGGGAUCGCAAGACCUCGCGCAAUUGGAGCGGCCGAUAUCAGAUUAGGUAGUUGGUGGGGUAAAGGCUCACCAAGCCGACGAUCUGUAGCUGGUCUGAGAGGACGACCAGCCACACUGGGACUGAGACACGGCCCAGACUCCUACGGGAGGCAGCAGUGGGGAAUUUUGGACAAUGGACGCAAGUCUGAUCCAGCCAUGCCGCGUGCGGGAAGAAGGCCUUCGGGUUGUAAACCGCUUUUGUCAGGGAAGAAAAGGCUCCUUCUAAUAUAGGGGGCUCAUGACGGUACCUGAAGAAUAAGCACCGGCUAACUACGUGCCAGCCGCCGCAGUAAAAC
rnacentral:rRNA from 1 species